rnacentral:rRNA from 1 species
UGCCAGCCGCCGCGGUAAUACGGAGGGGGCAAGCGUUAUUCGGAUUUAUUGGGCGUAAAGGGCGUGUAGGCGGCCUGGUAAGUUGAAGGUGAAAUCCCACGGCUCAACCGUGGAACUGCCUUCGAUACUGCCAGGCUAGAGUACGGGAGAGGGUAGUGGAAUUCCCAGUGUAGCGGUGAAAUGCGUAGAUAUUGGGAGGAACACCAGUGGCGAAGGCGACUACCUGGACCGUUACUGACGCUGAAGCGCGAAAGCAUGGGGAACAAACAGGAUUAGAUA